UACCCUGGUGGCGAGUGGCGAACGGGUGAGUAAUACAUCGGAACGUGUCCUGUAGUGGGGGAUAGCCCGGCGAAAGCCGGAUUAAUACCGCAUACGAUCUACGGGAGAAAGCGGGGGAUCCUUCGGGACCUCGCGCUAUAGGGGCGGCCGAUGGCAGAUUAGCUAGUUGGUGGGGUAAAGGCCUACCAAGGCGACGAUCUGUAGCUGGUCUGAGAGGACGACCAGCCACACUGGGACUGAGACACGGCCCAGACUCCUACGGGAGGCAGCAGUGGGGAAUUUUGGACAAUGGGGGAAACCCUGAUCCAGCAAUGCCGCGUGUGUGAAGAAGGCCUUCGGGUUGUAAAGCACUUUUGUCCGGAAAGAAAACUUCUGCCCUAAUACGGUGGGAGGAUGACGGUACCGGAAGAAUAAGCACCGGCUAACUACGUGCCAGCAGCCGCGGUAAUACGUAGGGUGCGAGCGUCAAUCGGAAUUACUGGGCGUAAAGCGUGCGCAGGCGGUUCGUUAAGACAGAUGUGAAAUCCCCGGGCUUAACCUGGGAACUGCAUUUGUGACUGGCGAGCUAGAGUAUGGCAGAGGGGGGUAGAAUUCCACGUGUAGCAGUGAAAUGCGUAGAGAUGUGGAGGAAUACCGAUGGCGAAGGCAGCCCCCUGGGCCAAUACUGACGCUCAUGCACGAAAGCGUGGGGAGCAAACAGAUUAGAUACCCUGGUAGUCCACGCCCUAAACGAUGUCAACUAGUUAUUGGGUCUUCAUUGACUUAGUAACGUAGCUAACGCGUGAAGUUGACCGCCUGGGGAGUACGGUCGCAAGAUUAAAACUCAAAGGAAUUGACGGGGACCCGCACAAGCGGUGGAUGAUGUGGAUUAAUUCGAUGCAACGCGAAAAACCUUACCUACCCUUGACAUGGUCGGAACCCUGCUGAAAGGUGGGGGUGCUCGAAAGAGAACCGAUACACAGGUGCUGCAUGGCUGUCGU
rnacentral:rRNA from 1 species